AGUUUCCUAGUGAUUUUUUAGUUGCUGCUUUAAACCACACCAGUCAAGCAGGACACCUUUGAAAAUGCAGACUGGGAGAUCUUCUCAGAUGCUGUUCUAAAUAGGCCACGGUUCACUCCAGUUUUCUCAAAGAAUUUGGUUCAUUUUCCUUGCCCACUGCAGGUCAUCUGAGCCGUGUGUUCAGAGGUGCCGAUCCUGAGAGCCCAGAAGCAAGAGCAGACUCUGCUGUGGCUCCCUCUGCUCCUGGA